CAGUAGCCGCGGUAACACGUAGGUCCCGAGCGUUGUCCGGAUCUAUUGGGCGUAAAGCGAGCGCAGGCGGUUAGAUAAGUCUGAAGUUAAAGGCUGUGGCUUAACCAUAGUACGCUUUGGAAACUGUUUAACUUGAGUGCAAGAGGGGAGAGUGGAAUUCCAUGUGUAGCGGUGAAAUGCGUAGAUAUAUGGAGGAACACCGGUGGCGAAAGCGGCUCUCUGGCUUGUAACUGACGCUGAGGCUCGAAAGCGUGGGGAGCAAACAGGAUUAGAUACCCGCGUAGUCCCUGUCUCUUAUACC
rnacentral:rRNA from 1 species